rnacentral:rRNA from 1 species
AUUGAACGCUGGCGGCAUGCCUUACACAUGCAAGUCGAACGGUAACAGGUCUUCGGAUGCUGACGAGUGGCGAACGGGUGAGUAAUACAUCGGAACGUGCCCGAUCGUGGGGGAUAACGAAGCGAAAGCUUUGCUAAUACCGCAUAAGAUCUACGGAUGAAAGCAGGGGACCGCAAGGCCUUGCGCGAACGGAGCGGCCGAUGGCAGAUUAGGUAGUUGGUGGGAUAAAAGCUUACCAAGCCGACGAUCUGUAGCUGGUCUGAGAGGACGACCAGCCACACUGGGACUGAGACACGGCCCAGACUCCUAAGGGAGGCAGCAGUGGGGAAUUUUGGACAAUGGGCGAAAGCCUGAUCCAGCCAUGCCGCGUGCAGGAUGAAGGCCUUCGGGUUGUAAACUGCUUUUGUACGGAACGAAAAGACUCUGGUUAAUACCUGGGGUCCAUGACGGUACCGUAAGAAUAAGCACCGGCUAACUACGUG